GGGGAUAUAGGUCAGUGGUAGACCACUUGCCUAGCAUGUGCAACAUCCUGGGUUCAAUCCCCAGCACCCCCC
rnacentral:tRNA from 1 species